rnacentral:rRNA from 1 species
GACGAACGCUGGCGGCGUGCUUAACACAUGCAAGUCGAACGGAAAGGCCCUGCUUUUGUGGGGUGCUCGAGUGGCGAACGGGUGAGUAACACGUGAGUAACCUGCCCUUGACUUUGGGAUAACUUCAGGAAACUGGGGCUAAUACCGGAUAGGAGCUCCUGCUGCAUGGUGGGGGUUGGAAAGUUUCGGCGGUUGGGGAUGGACUCGCGGCUUAUCAGCUUGUUGGUGGGGUAGUGGCUUACCAAGGCUUUGACGGGUAGCCGGCCUGAGAGGGUGACCGGCCACAUGGGGACUGAGAUACGGCCCAGACUGCUACGGGAGGCAGCAGUGGGGAGUAUUGCACAAUGGGCGGAAGCGUGAUGCAGCGACGCCGCGUGCGGGAUGACGGCCUUCGGGUUGUAAACCGCUUUCGCCUGUGACGAAGCGUGAGUGACGGUAAUGGGUAAAGAAGCACCGGCUAACUACGUG